AUCCUUUUGUAGUUCAUGAGCAUGAUGAUUGGGUGUUCACAUGGCUGCGUGACAUGUGCCUCCCUCAACCCUUGUUAUGACAUUGGCGCAUUACCCGUUUGACG
rnacentral:snoRNA from 1 species